GGGGAUUUAGCUCAGUGGUAGAGCAUUUGCCUAGCAAGCUGGGGACCUGGGUUCGGUCCUCAGCUCCG
rnacentral:tRNA from 1 species